rnacentral:rRNA from 1 species
CUAAUACAUGCAUGUCGAACGAAGUAGCUUGCUACUUAGUGGCGAAUGGGUGAGUAACACGUGCUUAAUCUACCUUCUAGAUUGGGAUAACAGUUGGAAACGACUGCUAAUACCGGAUAGGUGAGUUCUCGCAUGAGAAUAACAUGAAAGGAGCCUUAAAGCUUCACUAGGAGAUGAGAGCGCGGAACAUUAGUUAGUUGGUAGGGUAAUGGCCUACCAAGACGAUGAUGUUUAGCCGGGUUGAGAAACUGACCGGCCACACUGGGACUGAGAUACGGCCCAGACUCCUACGGGAGGCAGCAGUAGGGAAUAUUCCACAAUGGGCGAAAGCCUGAUGGAGCGACACAGCGUGCACGAUGACGGCCCUCGGGUUGUAAAGUGCUGUUAUUAGGGAAGAACACUUGUUUGAGGAAAUGCUAACAAGCUGACGGUACCUGAUCAGAAAGCGAUGGCUAACUAUGUGCCAGCAGCCGCGGUAAUACAUAGGUCGCAAGCGUUAUCCGGAAUUAUUGGGCGUAAAGCGUUCGUAGGCUGUUUGUUAAGUCUGAAGUUAAAGCCUGGGGCUCAACCCCAGCCCGCUUUAGAUACUGGCAAACUAGAGUGAGAUAGAGGUAAGCGGAAUUCCAUGUGAAGCGGUGAAAUGCGUAGAUAUAUGGAAGAACACCAAAGGCGAAGGCAGCUUACUGGGUCUAUACUGACGCUGAGGGACGAAAGCGUGGGGAGCAAACAGGAUUAGAUACCCUGGUAGUCCACGCCGUAAACGAUGAUCAUUAGUCGGUGGAAAAUUCACUGACGCAGCUAACGCAUUAAAUGAUCCGCCUGAGUAGUAUGCUCGCAAGAGUGAAACUUAAAGGAAUUGACGGGGACUCGCACAAGCGGUGGAGCAUGUGGUUUAAUUUGAAGAUACGCGGAGAACCUUACCCACUCUUGACAUCUUCCGCAAACUAUGAGACAUAGUGGAGUUACAG